CCUACGGGAGGCAGCAGUGAGGAAUAUUGGUCAAUGGGCGCGAGCCUGAACCAGCCAAGUAGCGUGAAGGAGGACGGCCCUACGGGUUGUAAACUUCUUUUAUAAAGGAAUAAAGUGAGGCACGUGUGCCUGUUUGUGUGUACUUUAUGAAUAAGGAUCGGCUAACUCCGUGACAGCAGCCGCGGUAAUACGGAGGAUGCCAGCGUUAUCCGGAUUUAUUGGGUUUAAAGGGAGCGUAGACGGGUUGCUAUGUCAGUUGUGAAAGUUUGCGGCUCAACCGUAAAAUUGCCAUUGAUACUGGCAGUCUUGAGUACACUUGAGGUACUCGGAAUUCGUGGUGUAGCGGUGAAAUGCUUAGAUAUCACGCAGAACUCCGAUUGCGAAGGCAGCUUACUAACCUGCCACUGACAUUCAUGCUCGAAAGUGUGGGUAUCACACAGGAUUAGAUACCCGAGUAGUC
rnacentral:rRNA from 1 species